AACAUGGGGAGAAAUGCCAGAUGUAGGUGAUGUAGGGAUGGAGGCAGCAAACCACAUUGCCAUGGGUGUACCUAUGCAAAAAUCUUGCAUGUUCUGCACAUGUACCCCAGAACCUAAACUGCAAUUAUAUGUAUGGAUAAAGAAAAGCAUGGCAAUGUAAAGCAGGACUGAAUAGUAACUAUGUGAUUGUCUAUUUAGCACAAAGAGGAUUGGUGCUAACAAGAGACAGUGUAAUGCUUAUUAGCAUUUAGUAAGUAAUACCACAUACUGUGAAAUGGUAGUAUUGAUUGUUUUUGACUUGACAAUAAAACCUUUUAUCUUUAACCUAAUAUGGACUCUAGACCAAGAUGCUAAUUCGUAAUACUAUUUUGUAAAAAAAAAAUAGAUGACAUUUGAUUAUGUAAAAGUCAUAGAAUAAGCUUGGCGCAGUAGCUCACACCUGUAAUCCCAACACUUUGGGACGCUGAGAGGGCCAGAUCACUUGAGCCCAGGAGUUGGAGACCAGCCUGGAAUACAGGAUGAAAACUCUUCUCUGCAAUAAAUACAAAUACUAGCGGGGUAUAGUGGCUUACGCCCAGGGGGCAGAGGUUGCAGUGAGCCAAGAUCGUCCCACUGCACUCCUACCUGGGUAACAGAGUGAGACCCUGUCUCCAAAAAAAAAAGGAAAGAAAGGUCAUAGAAUAUCAGACUUGCAAAUGUGAUUCAUACUCUGCCAGUCAUUUCAGGGUACAUUUUCCUUCCCCAUUUUGUAGACUUUGCUCCUUACUCAAAGGUUGGUUGUUUCUCAGAUCAGACAAAGGAGCAGCUGUUAUUUAACUAUAGACCCAGCUUCAUCUGAUCGAGUUGCAAAACAUAUUGACAGAUGAUAUGCAAAGUUUUGGAGGAUUUAUGUUUAUUAGAAAGAAUGUAAUAGCUUCAGUUUGUAUGGUAUCUGAACUGAACGAUAACAAUAUUAUUAUAUCCUACAGGUACAUAAGUACAGUGGCCAGAUCAUACUAUAUAACUAUAUAGUAUAUAGUAUAGAUGUGGAGAAUACAUAUAUAAUGCAAAACCUAAUCCUAUUUGCCUAGUUAAUAAUUUAAUAUACUAUUUAUAUUUCACUAUAAUUCUCCCAUUACUCACUAUUAAAGUGAGCCCAGCCCAUAAAGCUCGAGUUCUUUGGAAAGAUAUAAAAUUUCAAGAUGUCAGCUAUCCUCAUUUCCUGUACUCCUCCCCUUGUGUUUUAAACUCUAGCAGAAUCACAUGACAUAUAUUUUCCUCCAAAUACUAUGCUUAUUUUCAUCAUCAUUAUUAAUAAUAAAGCAAUCAUCUGUGAAGGUGUCAGAUACUAAGAGUGUUAAAUGAAUUUCCAUGGCUGCAUUUAAUUCUCAAAAGAACCUAAUAAGAAGUAUGUAUUAUCCCUACUCUACCAAAGAGGAAUUGAGAUUUUGAGAGUUUAAAUACACAAAGCAGGGUUUCAUAGCUAGUACAAUGUAGAACCUUAAUUCAAAUCCAGAUAUGUUUAGCUUUAGAGCUGCCUCUCCUAAUCACUAAGUUAACUAGACUCUCCUUAUUUUGCAUAUGCUGUUCCCUCUACCUGGGAUGCCCUUCUCUUCAAUUUUAAUAGGGGUCUUAAUUCUAAGCAACAAAAAUCAUUUAUUGAUUUAAUCAGAAUUGAAUUUAUUAAAAGGAUAUUGAGGAGUUCACAGAAUCUCCAGGGGUACCAAAUUCAGGCCAUGGAGUUAUAGUCAAUUGUGUCCAUAGAUUGUGUGCCACUGACAUCACCACUAGCACUACUAACCUUGGGUCAUAGAUGUAAUAACAAGUGCUACUGCCACUUGUCAUACUGCAUCCAUUUCUCUUUGCCACCAGAGAGAGGGCCUCCAGUUCAUUCCUUUGGAUCAUUAGUUUCUAAUUUCAAGCCAGGUAAAGGUGCAUCUGAUUGUUGGAACCUCAAUGACCAGCCCAUGCUCUGGCUGCAGGGGAGGCCAGGAAAACAAGAAUCAAACAUUAUGAACCUAUGUGAUGGUGUAUCAAGGUUUAAAAUAUGGAGAAUUCCUUCAAAUAAGAAGGGAUUCUGAGAAUAGUGAGAAAUUAUAUUAUACUAGGCUGCCAAAAAGAAUGACACAUGUCUACCACAGCCUUUCUUUGACUACCUGCAAACUUAUUUGUCCUUUAAAAACAUCCAUGCAGCCUCCUAUUAUAACUUAUACUUUCUAAUACUGCAUAGUUUUUGAUGGCUUGCUUUUUAUGGACUCUUAAGUAUUACUUGUCUAUGUAACUGACUCCUCUCUACCUUUUCUCAAGUAGCUUGUAGCCUCUUAUUGAUGUUGGUACUCCCUAACAUCUACUCAGGAUAGUGUUCAGUAUGUAGUAAAUACUAAGUAAAUGGUUGAACAGCAUUGGUGCAUAAAUUGUCCCUACUCACCAUCAGUACUAGAAUGUCAGGUCCAUAAGAGGCAGGGGUUUUUGUCUUUGUCUGUCUCUCUCUCUCUCUCUUUUAACCACCAUAUGGCCAGCACCUAGAUUAAUUCCUAGCAUGUGGUAAGUCUGUGGUAAAUAUUUGUUAAAUAUUUGCUAAAUAAGUAAAUACUCCUAAAUAGUAUAUUAUUUAUCUAUCUCUGGGAAUAAGGCCUUUAAAUGUGAAUGGGAAACUCAAAGCACCAUAUUAUAAUUUACAACUAGACCACAAACAGUGAUGACAGAAACUGCCUUAUUCAUCUUUAGUUACCUCUUCUUUCUAUCCAGAAACAUAAAAGGCAAUUUGAAAUUCUUUCCUAGACCUACUGUGAUAGUUACUAGCCACAAAAAUUGCCUGAAGUACCUACCAUAUACCUACUAAACAUGAAACCUUUUUGGUCUCCUUUUAUGUAUAACGAGUUGUAUCCUGAGAUUGCAUCUACUGUGGGAAGAAGAGGCUGUUGGACAAACUGUCUUGUACUUAUGUUUAAAAAAGUAUAAUAACCUAGGGCAGUAGCAUUUCACUUUGAAGAAAUGAAGAAAUGGAGGUCCUUAAUUGUGAAAUGAUUCGUAUGAAUGUAAAACACUUAGAAUUCCUGGCGUAAAUUGGCCUUCUAAAUGUUAGCUGUACUUUUUAUUGUACAGUACAUUGAAAACAGUCCUUCAGACUUUUUACUUAACUGCUCCCAAACCUUUUAAAUUCUUCAUUACCUCUAAUCCUCUCAAUUCUGAUGAUAAGCAGUGUUACCCUACUUUACAAAUAAAAAACCUGAAUCUGAGAUGAGGUUAAGUUGUUUGCUCAGUGGUCACACAGCUGAGAAGUCCUAGUUAGCUGGGAUUCAAACCCAGACCUAUCUUAUUUUUGAAACUCUUUCUAGCAUGGCAAAAUAACAUGCUAAAUGUAGGUUGAAUUUAGUUGUGUUCUACUAUAUCCUUCUAUCCACUGUUAGAUUUAAUGCAUCUUUUGCCCCUGCCACCUUUACUUCUCUUUUCUGAUUUGUAAUCUGUUUACUACUCUCUUCAGUUUAUCUCCUGGUUCUUUGGAGUAGAAAGUAAGCAUUUUGCCCAGAAGAACAAAGCACAUCCUCACAUAGUACUCUGUCCAUUUUACUUUUCCCUCUAUUUUUUCCUUAGCCUGAUUGAUUUGUACAGUGGAUUGGUUUCCAGAGAAGAAGACCUUGGUAUAUGUUAUGAGUCAGAUGAGUAAACCUAUACAUUACCCAGGAUGAGAUUUACGGGCUAAUAGCAUAUAUCCCCAAACUAAGAGUCAUUUUAGCCAGUGUAAAAGAUGAAAUACAACUUGGUUAGAAAUAAGGACAAUAGCAAAUAAUGGUAUUGAGUUGCUACAAACGCUUUGCAACCUAGUGAUGUACUUUUAUGUGUAUUAAUUACUUUUAACUUGUGCAUAAUACUGAAAAAUUCCAAAUGGAUUCCAGACAUUUAUUGCCAACAAAAAAGUUUACUUAAACUUGCUGUUUUAGAGAAUUAUUUUUCUUAGCAUAUGUUCUUUCUUGUUAAUAGCAAGCCUUUUAACAGUUACCAGAAUGUAAGCAUUUCUUAAGUUGAUGAUCUUUUGUAAUAGAGCACUUAUUUAGAAAUAUACACACUUAAAAAUUAGUGAUUAAACAGUCUUCAGGGACUAAAGCCACAAGUAGGAGGAUGCUGUUGCUUUCUGUUUCCUUAUUGCCUAACCAAUCUGCAACGGUAUCAUCCUCAUUUUCCUUCUUCUUCUUUUUUUUUCUUUGCUUUUUGUUAACCAGACAAGAGUUCAGAUCCUCUUUAUUUUUUUCUUGCCAUGCUCAUAUUAGUCUUUAACAAUGCCUCACUAAGAUGUUUCUGUUUGACUUUACAUUCACUUUUAUUUAGGUAAUAAAUAAAAAGGUGUGCUUUUGUUAAUAAGUUUACACUGGGCUUUCCCUUGUGCAAAAUAAGGUUCUUUUACAUUCAUCAGAGCUUUGUUAAUCACCCACUCUGCACCUAGCUGCGCUAGAUAGAUACUGGAAAGACAAAUAAGACCUGGUUUCUGUCACUGAGAACAUAGGGAAGGAUGUGGAAAAUUAAAUUAGACUACAGAAUGGUAAGUUCUAUCAUGUACUACAGAAGCAAAGAGAGGACUCCUCACCCAGACUUUUAGGGAAUAAAGGACAAUGUCAGGAAAGGCUUUCUAGAGGAAGUUUUCUCUGAGCUGAGUCUUGAGAACAAAUAGGAAUUAUUUAGGUAGAAGAGUGGGAGGACACUCUAGGAAAAGGGAGCAGCAGCCUGUGAGAAAGUACAGAGGUAAAAGAGCAGAUACAUGGCCCAUUUAGGGAACUGAAGUCCUGAGUGGCUUGAGUAGGGGAGGAAAAGUUACAUGAGGGUGGAACAGGGAAUGAAGAGAUUUGAGGCUGGGCUGGUCCAAAGUUGUCAAAUCAUGACGUACUUUCCGUGUUAUCCUCAGAAAUUUAUUCUAAAAGCCAUGAAGAAGUAUAUAAGCCAGGAAGUGACAUAGUGAGAUUUAUGUUUGGAAAGAUCAGUCUAGAAACUGCAGCUUACUUCUAUAAGUGUAAAUGAUCCUCAGCAAAUACAAUUAGAGGACACUCUUUGUCUCUUUAAAUCUUUGCUAUCAUUAAUUUUGGAUUAAAUGCUAAGAUAACAUAAUAAUUUAUGAAUUAGUUUCCUGUCUUCUGUUAUUAAGCAAACAUUUGAAACCUAUUUUGCUUGUUGGUAUAACUCAUAGACUUAGAUAACUAAAAUAGAGACUUGACAAAGCUACCAAUUUGUUCUGGACCUCUUGAUGGAUCUGGUGUUAGGAUAAACAAACACAAGGGCCUUCUGUGUGCCAGGUACUGUUCUAGGAACUGAAGAGAGAAAGGCGAAUGGCUUAGGCAUUCACAAUCUAGUGGAGAGACAGAUUCAUACACAAAUGCAAGUGCUGUAGAAUAAUUAUGUAUUAGAUGACCUUAUGUACAUUUUCACUUUCAGUCCUUACCUUAAACUUAACGAAGUACGGAUGAGGAAACCGAAGAUAAGAGGUAUUUAACUUACUCAAGUUCAUCUAAUAAUGAGUGGUAAAUAGCCACAAUUCAGUAUCUGAAGUACCUAACUCAAUUUUUUCCCUACCAUAUUAUACUGCUUCUCCUGACAAGGCAAUGCAUAUAUAUUUUUGAGCCUGAAGUAGUAUUCUUCCUCUCUUUUCUUAAUUCUUUGUAAUGCUACCCAAACUAGUAAUGUUGAGCCUUGAAGUAUCCAGUCGUUGGUUAAAAGUGCAGGCUCUGGCAGUCAGAUUGUCUGGAUUCCAACCCCAGCUCCAUCACUUACUCCCUGUCAGUCUACAUCAUAGAAUUGUGAGAUAAUGUCAGUAAAGCACUUACAAAAGUGAAAGCACAGGGAAAGAAUUCGAUUGAUGUUACUUAAAAUUGUCAUUGGAAUAGCAAUUCAUCUACUUUCCAAACAUUCAGGGAAUUUUGAUAAAAUGUGUUUAAACUAUCCAAUUUAAUUUAAUUUAAUCUUGGUGAGGAGCUUUUGCCUACCUUGCAUAUUUGAAAUCUUACUUCUUGUUCAGGGCAUCAGUGACCUGUGGCAAAGAUGCCACCAAAAAAAAAAAAAAAGAAAAAAAUUAGGAAAAUAUGCCUGUGAGA